AUUGAACGCUGGCGGAAUGCUUUACACAUGCAAGUCGAACGGCAGCACGGACUUCGGUCUGGUGGCGAGUGGCGAACGGGUGAGUAAUGUAUCGGAACGUGCCCAGUCGUGGGGGAUAACGUAGUGAAAAUUACGCUAAUACCGCAUACGAUCUAUGGAUGAAAGCGGGGGAUCGCAAGACCUCGCGCGAUUGGAGCGGCCGAUAUCAGAUUAGGUAGUUGGUGGGGUAAAGGCCCACCAAGCCAACGAUGUGUAGCUGGUCUGAGAGGACGACCAGCCACACUGGAACAGCGACACGGUCCAGACUCCUACGGGAGGCAGCAGUGGGGAAUUUUGGACAAUGGGCGAAAGCCCGAUCCAGCCAUUCCGCGUGCAGGAUGAAGGCCCUCGGGUUGUUAACUGCUUUUGUACAGAACGAAAAGGUUUCUACUAAUACUAGGAGCUCAUGACGGUACUGUAAGAAUAAGCACCGGCUAACUACGUGCCAGCCGCCGCAGUAA
rnacentral:rRNA from 1 species